GCUUACGGCCAUACCACCCUGAACACGCCCGAGAUCUCGGAAGCUAAGCAGGGUCGGGCCUGGUUAGUACUUGGAUGGGAGACCGCCUGGGAAUACCAGGUGCUGUAAGCU
ensembl:rRNA 5S_rRNA 5S ribosomal RNA